rnacentral:rRNA from 1 species
CACGUAGGGUGCGAGCGUUGUCCGGAAUUAUUGGGCGUAAAGAGCGUGUAGGCGGUCCGGUAAGUCGGCUGUGAAAGUCCAGGGCUCAACCCUGGGAUGCCGGUCGAUACUGCCCGGACUAGAGUUCGGAAGAGGCGAGUGGAAUUCCCGGUGUAGCGGUGAAAUGCGCAGAUAUCGGGAGGAACACCUAUGGCGAAGGCAGCUCGCUGGGACGUUACUGACGCUGAGACGCGAAAGCGUGGGGAGCAAACAGG